rnacentral:lncRNA from 1 species
GGGAGGAGUUAAAGCAAAAAUCAGCAGCUAAUGAGGGGCAAUCUGUAAACCACCAACCACCCCUUCCCCCAACCUUUACUCCUGUUCCAAGUGAAUUUCUGCUGCUAAGUUAUGGGUAGAAGCAAAAAACCACUUUGUGGAGGGAGAGGAAGGAAACCACGUCGCUCUAUGAUAAAAGCCUUGCACCUGGUAAAAAGCAACAGCCUGCUACCACUGCAGGUGGGGCAGGAAGCUUCCAGUUCCCAUUCCCAAGCAAAGAUAAUUUGCAGCUGAGAUUUGCAACAAGGACCCAGCACGGAUACAAAGCAGAGACAGGCUCUCACCACGGCGGGGGAGAGGACGCUCUCACAGGUCCAGAACCUCUCAACAGAUACAAGUCACCAAUGCUGCUCAUUGCAAUGUAUGGAGUGAAAGAGGCUGCCAUCGGUAUCCAGAAGAAGGUGUUACUUCGGUACCCAUACUCAUAAUCCAUAUGCUCCUGAAAUCAUGUGGAACAUGCAACUAGGACCUUCUGAACACGUAGCCUGAUUUACUUAUGAAGAAGCAAAUUCAACCAAGUGAUACGAAUUGUCUAAGGUCAUACAGUUAAUAACUUGUAAGAGCCCAGCACAGCACAGAUUUACAAAAUGAUACACAAAGACCUCAGAGUUUCCAGCCUGGUGUUCUGCCUUGUGGAUUUCAGAUUUGCCAAGCCCCACAAUUACAUAAUGAAAUUCCUUAAAGAAGCGAACUUUUGCUAUUGCACAGACCUGCUGCCUCCAGAGCGCCACGCCACUGAUUGUUUUCCUUGUUUCGUGGAAGGAAGACAAAACUUGUUCCAGCUCAACAAGGCUUCCUAUAUCUUUUGCCCCAUCAGUUUAAACACCUCAUUCAAAGUUGUUAUGGAAACACCAUAAUCCUCAAUGCCUUGGCUGGAAUGCAGUGGCUCAAUUUUGGUUCACUGCAACCUGCACCUCCCAGAUUCAAGUGAUCCUCCUGCUUCAGCCUCCCGAGUAGCUGGGAUUACAGUGGUACAUCCUGUAGUUGAGGGCUUCUUACACCUGAUGAAAUACCAUAGGUUCUGCAUGUCAGGAGAUUCCAUAUUCGGUGCCUUGAAAGAGGAUCCAAUCCAGCAGUCGGUUCAUCCAAUAGCAAAACCUGGACAGGAGGAAAGUCCUAAAGUA